rnacentral:rRNA from 1 species
UUUGAAUAUUAUAAAAGGUACCGCCUGCCCAGUGACUAUGUGUUCAACGGCCGCGGUAUACUGACCGUGCAAAGGUAGCGUAAUCAUUUGUCUUUUAAUUGAAGACUAGUAUGAAUGGCAUCACGAGGACUAAUCUGUCUCCCUCCCCCAAUCAGUGAAACUGAUCUCCCCGUGCAGAAGCGGGGAUAAUAUCAUAAGACGAGAAGACCCUGUGGAGCUUCAAAUCAAUAAUCAACUGCUUCACCCACCCCAAAUAAAGGAUACACUCACGCAAACUUGAUUUAGAUUUUCAGCUGGGGCGUCUAUGGAGAAAAAAAAAUCCUCCAUGAAAAUUCAUGCUAAAAGCUACCGCCAUAGGCAUUAAUAUACUUAACUUUAAUUGACCCAAUUUUUGAUCAACGAACCA